rnacentral:rRNA from 1 species
AUUGAACGCUGGCGGCAUGCCUUACACAUGCAAGUCGUACGGUAACGUGGGGCAACCUGGCGACGAGUGGCGAACGGGUGAGUAAUGCAUCGGAACGUGCCCAGUAGUGGGGGAUAGCCCGGCGAAAGCCGGAUUAAUACCGCAUACGACCUAAGGGUGAAAGGGGGGGAUCGCAAGACCUCUCGCUAUUGGAGCGGCCGAUGUCAGAUUAGGUAGUUGGUGGGGUAAAGGCCUACCAAGCCGACGAUCUGUAGCUGGUCUGAGAGGACGACCAGCCAGACUGGGACUGGGACACGGCCCAGACUCCUACGGGAGGCAGCAGUGGGGAAUUUUGGACAAUGGAUGCAAGUCUGAUCCAGCCAUGCCGCGUGCGGGAAGAAGGCCUUCGGGUUGUAAACCGCUUUUGUCAGGGAAGAAAUCUUCUGGGUUAAUACCUCGGGAGGAUGACGGUACCUGAAGAAUAAGCACCGGCUAACUACGUGCCAGCAGCCGCGGUAA